rnacentral:rRNA from 1 species
GCUUGUCUCAAAGAUUAAGCCAUGCAUGUCUAAGUAUAAAUGUUAUACAGUGAAACUGCGAAUGGCUCAUUAAAACAGUUAUAGUUUAUUUGAUAAUCGAAUCUACAUGGAUAACCGUGGUAAUUCUAGAGCUAAUACAUGCUGGUUAGCCUGACUUCGCGGAAGGGCUGUAUUUAUUAGAUAACAAACCAAUAUUCCUUGUGUCUAUUGUGAUGACUCAUAAUAACUGAUCGAAUCGCAUGGACCUUGUCCGCGAUACAUCAUUCAAGUUUCUGCCCCAUCAGCUUUCGAUGGUAGUGUAUUGGACUACCAUGGCUUUAACGGGUAACGGAGGAUUAGGGUUCGAUUCCGGAGAGGGAGCCUUAAAAACGGCUACCACAUCCAAGGAAGGCAGCAGG